AGAUUUUGUAUAGCUAAUAUACUAGGCUUAUCAUAUAUUGUAUUAAAUUUGUUAGGAAGGAAAGAAAAAAAAGAAAGCAAAAGUCGCAAUAUGAUCCAAUCGAUAUUGAAACUAUUGAUAAGGUUGAUUUUUGGGUGACGGAAGAGGUUGUUGAAAAAGAGCCUGAUCUUCCAAGUAAUAUUGAAGACUUGCUUGAUGAGAUUGAUGCUGAUUUAGAUCAAGGUGGUGGUGGUGGUAGUACUAGUACAUUUUAUGCUGCACCACUUGCUUUUUUUGGUCCAAGUAGUGGAAAUGAAGGUGAUGGAAUAAAUGACGCAAAUCUGCAGCAAGUUAUGGAGGAUUUUGAUGAUUGAUGACAAACUUGGAUCAUUUUGAUGCUGCUAUGUUAUGUUUGAUUGGU